rnacentral:lncRNA from 1 species
CUUUGUAAAGUGUCUGAGACAAACAAGAAAGGAAUAUAAUGUCCCACCUCACACUAUUGCCACUCCAGAAAAGAAGAAGGUUUCUGGAGUAGAGGAGAACAGAGAUGGGGAGAAAAGAAUGGCUGCAUCUGGCAUCCAGGCCGAGAAGUCCAUGCAGGU